AGAGGAGCUUCAUGCUUUGGGUCGGGGAAGGAAAGACAUAGAAUUUGGAUUUUUCUUCUUUGUAGAGUUUUGGGAAGACUGAGGCAAUCGCUGCUGAAGUCAGUAUUGUAAUGGUGAAUCGGAAUUUUUAAUGAAGUGGGUUUGAAUACUCUUGACUGUUUUAUGAAAUCGAGUUACGUCUGUGAUUGAAGGAUUAAAAGGAUGUCUAUAGGAUUGAGUAUGCGGAGUGAAUGAAAUUUAUUGGGUUAAUCUAACAAGACAGUCAGUGGAUACAAGAUCGUAAGUACAAAGUGGUAUUGAAGAUUAACAGUUUGGG
rnacentral:lncRNA from 1 species